AUUUUAUAAACAAUACACUCGGAGAAUUCAGCAGUAGAUGUUAAACACUAUGCAAUAUAAUAGCUCUAUAUAUUCAAAAUACGUGCACAUUUUCCAUAAAUUAUUUAAAACUGACCCAAUUUCCCGACUUAAAUAUUCACCAAACAAAAAAAGUUAAAACAAUAAACUUUAUAGAUAAAUUUGUCAGAUUGUAUUUGAUGGGUAGCACAUAAAUCUCUCUCUAUAUAUAUAUAAGUAUACA